rnacentral:rRNA from 1 species
GACGAACGCUGGCGGCGUGCUUAACACAUGCAAGUCACGGGGGCCCGCAAGGGCAACCGGCGAACGGGUGCGUAACACGUGAGCAACCUGCCUAUCUGCGGGGGAUAGCCGGCCCAACGGCCGGGUAAUACCGCAUACGUUCACGAGGGGACAUCCCCUUGUGAGGAAAACUCCGGUGCAGAUAGAGGGGCUCGCGGCCUAUCAGCUAGUUGGUGAGGUAACGGCUCACCAAGGCGACGANCCGUAGCUGGUCUGAGAGGACGGCCAGCCACACUGGGACUGAGACACGGCCCAGACUCCUACGGGAGGCAGCAGUGGGGAAUAUUGGACAAUGGGGGAAACCCUGAUCCAGCGACGCCGCGUGUGUGAAGAAGGCCUGCGGGUUGUAAAGCACUUUGGUGGGAACGAAAUAAUGCCGGGCUAAUACCCCGGUAGGCUGACGUUACUCAAUGAAGAAGCACCGGCUAACUCUGUGCCAGCA